GACGAACGCUGGCGGCGUGCCUAAUACAUGCAAGUCGAACGCACAGUUUAUACCGUAGCUUGCUACACCAUAGACUGUGAGUUGCGAACGGGUGAGUCACGCGUAGGUAACCUGCCUGGUAGCGGGGGAUAACUAUUGGAAACGAUAGCUAAUACCGCAUAAUAUUAAUUAUUGCAUGAUAAUUAAUUGAAAGGUGCAAUUGCACCACUACCAGAUGGACCUGCGUUGUAUUAGCUAGUAGGUGAGGUAACGGCUCACCUAGGCGACGAUACAUAGCCGACCUGGGAGGGUGAUCGACCAACCUGGGACGGGGACACGGCCCAGACUCCUACGGGAGGCAGCAGUAGGGAAACUUCGGAAAUGGACGAAAGGCUGACCGAGCAACGCCGGGUGAGUGAAGAAGGGUUUCGGAUCGGAAAGCUCGGUUGUAAGGGAAGAACGGGUGUGAGAGUGGAAAGUUCACACUGUGACGGUAUCUUACCAGAAAGGGACGGCUAACUACGUG
rnacentral:rRNA from 1 species